rnacentral:rRNA from 1 species
CACUAUCGUUAACUGAAUACAUAGGUUAACGAGGCGAACCGGGGGAACUGAAACAUCUAAGUACCCCGAGGAAAAGAAAUCAACCGAGAUUCCCCCAGUAGCGGCGAGCGAACGGGGAGCAGCCCAGAGUCUGAAUCAGCUUGUGUGUUAGUGGAACGGUCUGGAAAGUCCGACGGUACAGGGUGAUAGUCCCGUACACCAAAAUGCACAGGCUGUGAACUCGAAGAGUAGGGCGGGACACGUGGUAUCCUGUCUGAAUAUGGGGGGACCAUCCUCCAAGGCUAAAUACUCCUGACUGACCGAUAGUGAACCAGUACCGUGAGGGAAAGGCGAAAAGAACCCCGGCGAGGGGAGUGAAAAAGAACCUGAAACCGUGUACGUACAAGCAGUGGGAGCACCUUCGGGUGUGACUGCGUACCUUUUGUAUAAUGGGUCAGCGACUUAUAUUCUGUAGCAAGGUUAACCGUAUAGGGGAGCCGCAGGGAAACCGAGUCUUAACUGGGCGUUAAGUUGCAGGGUAUAGACCCGAAACCCGGUGAUCUAGCCAUGGGCAGGUUGAAGGUUGGGUAACACUAACUGGAGGACCGAACCGACUAAUGUUGAAAAAUUAGCGGAUGACUUGUGGCUGGGGGUGAAAGGCCAAUCAAACCGGGAGAUAGCUGGUUCUCCCCGAAAGCUAUUUAGGUAGCGCCUCGUGAACUCAUCUUCGGGGGUAGAGCACUGUUUCGGCUAGGGGGUCAUCCCGACUUACCAACCCGAUGCAAACUACGAAUACCGAAGAAUGUUAUCACGGGAGACACACGGCGGGUGCUAACGUCCGUCGUGAAGAGGGAAACAACCCAGACCGCCAGCUAAGGUCCCAAAGUCAUGGUUAAGUGGGAAACGAUGUGGGAAGGCACAGACAGCCAGGAUGUUGGCUUAGAAGCAGCCAUCAUUUAAAGAAAGCGUAAUAGCUCACUGGUCGAGUCGGCCUGCGCGGAAGAUGUAACGGGGCUAAACCAUGCACCGAAGCUGCGGCAGCGACACUAUGUGUUGUUGGGUAGGGGAGCGUUCUGUAAGCCUGCGAAGGUGACCUGUGAGGGUUGCUGGAGGUAUCAGAAGUGCGAAUGCUGACAUAAGUAACGAUAAAGCGGGUGAAAAGCCCGCUCGCCGGAAGACCAAGGGUUCCUGUCCAACGUUAAUCGGGGCAGGGUGAGUCGACCCCUAAGGCGAGGCCGAAAGGCGUAGUCGAUGGGAAACAGGUUAAUAUUCCUGUACUUGGUGUUACUGCGAAGGGGGGACGGAGAAGGCUAUGUUAGCCGGGCGACGGUUGUCCCGGUUUAAGCAUGUAGGCUGGUUGUCCAGGCAAAUCCGGAUAAUCAAGGCUGAGGUGUGAUGACGAGGCACUACGGUGCUGAAGUAACAAAUGCCCUGCUUCCAGGAAAAGCCUCUAAGCAUCAGGUAACAUUAAAUCGUACCCCAAACCGACACAGGUGGUCAGGUAGAGAAUACCAAGGCGCUUGAGAGAACUCGGGUGAAGGAACUAGGCAAAAUGGUGCCGUAACUUCGGGAGAAGGCACGCUGGUGUGUAGGUGAAGUCCCUGCGGAUGGAGCUGAGACCAGUCGAAGAUACCAGCUGGCUGCAACUGUUUAUUAAAAACACAGCACUGUGCAAACACGAAAGUGGACGUAUACGGUGUGACGCCUGCCCGGUGCCGGAAGGUUAAUUGAUGGGGUUAUCCGUAAGGAGAAGCUCUUGAUCGAAGCCCCGGUAAACGGCGGCCGUAACUAUAACGGUCCUAAGGUAGCGAAAUUCCUUGUCGGGUAAGUUCCGACCUGCACGAAUGGCGUAAUGAUGGCCAGGCUGUCUCCACCCGAGACUCAGUGAAAUUGAACUCGCUGUGAAGAUGCAGUGUACCCGCGGCAAGACGGAAAGACCCCGUGAACCUUUACUAUAGCUUGACACUGAACAUUGAGCCUUGAUGUGUAGGAUAGGUGGGAGGCUUUGAAGCGUGGACGCCAGUCUGCGUGGAGCCAACCUUGAAAUACCACCCUUUAAUGUUUGAUGUUCUAACGUUGGCCCCUUACCGGGGUUGCGGACAGUGUCUGGUGGGUAGUUUGACUGGGGCGGUCUCCUCCCAAAGCGUAACGGAGGAGCACGAAGGUUAGCUAAUCCUGGUCGGACAUCAGGAGGUUAGUGCAAUGGCAUAAGCUAGCUUGACUGCGAGCGUGACGGCGCGAGCAGGUGCGAAAGCAGGUCAUAGUGAUCCGGUGGUUCUGAAUGGAAGGGCCAUCGCUCAACGGAUAAAAGGUACUCCGGGGAUAACAGGCUGAUACCGCCCAAGAGUUCAUAUCGACGGCGGUGUUUGGCACCUCGAUGUCGGCUCAUCACAUCCUGGGGCUGAAGUAGGUCCCAAGGGUAUGGCUGUUCGCCAUUUAAAGUGGUACGCGAGCUGGGUUUAGAACGUCGUGAGACAGUUCGGUCCCUAUCUGCCGUGGGCGCUGGAGAAUUGAGGGGGGCUGCUCCUAGUACGAGAGGACCGGAGUGGACGCAUCACUGGUGUUCGGGUUGUCAUGCCAAUGGCACUGCCCGGUAGCUAAAUGCGGAAGAGAUAAGUGCUGAAAGCAUCUAAGCACGAAACUUGCCCCGAGAUGAGUUCUCCCUGAG